GGUCUCUGGUUAUCUUAAAGGUCAGCAUCUUCUCCUUCCCACCUACCCCCAGAGGCCUCCCCACCAUGGGAUGUCACUGUAGCCUUGAGUGCCUAUUCUAAGCGAUUCCUUAAGGCAGAGACCCAGCCUCAUGCUUUCCUGGGUGCAUGCUUCCCCUCUAGCACCCAGCAUGGAGCUGGCACAGAGAAGGCACAAAUUAAAAGAAGUGAACCUGGGCAGUGAACAAAGACCAGGGCUCCAACAGUCCUCCUCCAAUUCCAGCAGCUGCCCCUUAGAGUCACCUGGUGGGGCAAGGGAGAAGGCAAAAAAGAAGGAGGGUUGUAGACAUUCCAAUAUCCAGGCCCCUUCUAGACUAAACUGAAUCCAAAUCUCUAGGGUAAGGCUGGGCAUUGUUCCUACCCAGAAUGAUCCUGAGGCAUAUCAAGGAUUAGAACUUUCUGGAAGAUUCAGGUCUCCCUCCCCCCACCCAGGUGCAGUGGGCAAGGUGAGGCCAAGUCCUGCGGGAGGCUUUGAGUGCUCCUUAAUACGCCACUGUGUGUUGCAUUGAUUGGAGAAGCGCUUUAUAGCUUGCAAAGUACUUUCACUUGCAUCGAGUCAUUCAUUCAUUCAUUAUUCAUUGAACAAAUAUGCAGCAGAAAGUGCUGGGGCCACAAAGAUGAAGCUCCAAGGUGUGUGGCAGAGACAGGUUCGUGGACUGACAGAUUGAUGAACAAGGCCAUAAGGUGUGACAGGGCUGCCCCCAGAGCCCUUAGCAGAACCGGUCAGGGGCACAGAGGAGGAGGGUAUUGAGCCUAUGUUAGGGAGGCCCCCUGGUCUGGGUGGUACUGGCAAGGCAGAAGGUCCAGGUAGGGGCUGGCAAAGGUGCAGGUGGCAGAGGUGGACUUGGUCCUGCCAUGGGCAGGGGUAUGAGGACACACAGAUGUGAGGAGGGACGGUGGGGACUGCAGAGGGCCUGGCCUGGGCACCUGGUGGCUUAGCUGGGAGCCUGCAGGAAAGACCGAGAAGGGAUGAAGAGAGAGGCGAGAGGAAUGCCAGGAGAGGAGACGGUGGGGUCCUCGUUGCGGGGGUGGGUUGGUGAGAGAUUCAAGCAAUGGUAAACACAAAUGAUUAUAACAACAGCCAGGAUCAACUGAGGCCUCAUUCUCUGCUAGAACAGUUCUCAUAAUUUUUAAAAUAAGCAUGAACACUGUUACUCCUCUCAGUAACCUGUGAGAGGAGUACCAGGGUAACCAUCCCAUCUCACACGUGGGAAAACCGAGAUUCAGAGAACAUCAUUUCCGCUGGUGAGGGGCAGAGAUCUGAUGGUGUGGGGUUCCAGGCACCCUGCCCUGACCUACCCCCCACCAGAGCCUCCGCGGAGAGGACUGUAAGAUGACUCCCCAAGAGAAAACCCUGGAUUCUGCAGCUGGUAUUCCAUUGGUGGGCCUGGUCAGAGCAGCUUUGAGGCAGGGAGUGGUGUCGAGUUGCACGAUGCCAGUGGGGAAGCAGAGAUCAGGAGAACAUGGGCUGGUAAUCCCAGCUACUCGAGAGGCUGAGGCAGGAGAAUAGCUUGAACCUGGGAGGCGGAGGUUGCAGUGAGCCAAGAUCGUGCCUCUGCACUCCACCCUGGGUGACAGAGCAAGACUUCGUCUCAAAAAAAAAAAA
rnacentral:lncRNA from 1 species